GAGUGGGGGAUGGGGUAGGGGUUCAAAGUUUAGGCUUGUCAGCUGAUUUCUGCAAGCCUUGGUAAGACCCAACACCCAUCUGCAGAUCCCAGGAAAAUGGCACUGCACAGUAACUAGGAGCAGAAAACAGCCUCAGGACAAGUCCACCAACAGAUCUUCUGUGUCCCCUAGUACCAUCUGGAGGUUUCUGUGAAAGUCUCAGCAGCAGAGGUGUAAACAACCUCAUUGAUAUGAAACAUGGAAGACCCAGGAGAUCUUAAAGCAGGCAUCCCCUUAAACUAGAGGUCUGCCUGCCCACCAACAUCGCUACUCUUCAAUCCCAAGAGGAAGACCUUCGGUUUUCCAGAGCCUGGUCACCUGGUGAGGCAGAUGCUCCAGACUCCCGUUUUCAGUAACAGCAAAGUAACAACAAGGCACAGACCAGAGCAGAAACAUUUGCUCCUGGCUCUGUGAUUGAGCUGGAGGAAGAGAACCUCAGCAAAUGCCGUGGAGUUACAGUCAAGUGUGACAGGAAACUUGACACUUGCAUGUGGAAUCCUGAGAAAUCAAAUGAGACAUUGGCAGACCGGGUUUCUGAAAAAGAAACAAACCAAUUAAACGACUGCUUCCUUAAAAGAUAAAGAAGUCUUUCAUCCAAGAAAUCACCCGUCGCUAUCACCAGGAGAUUGUACACAGGAGUGUUGAAGAAACACACUCAGUGCAAUGGUGGCUUUGUGUGGAGAUCGAUAAGAGGAGGGCACAGGACAUUGCCAGCUGUGAGCAGGUUGGCAGAGGUGCCGACCAUCUUCCAGAUACUGUGCAUUCUACGUUUUCAGACCCCAGUAGCUCAAAGUCCUCGUUGCAGGAGAAGUGACAGAUAGAGCCAACACCAAACUCUCCGUGGACGUGAGAACAAUCCAGGUUGCCUCGCUCUGGGGCGAAGAUUCCUGGACACUUGAUGGCUGGAGUAUCAAAUGAGAAAGUCCCGAUAUUAAUGCUCUCUCAGACAUUCUGUAUUUCACAAAGUUUAUUCACUCCAUAGUUGAUAAACAGUUAUUGACUACUGACUGUAUCUCGGGCAUUUUAAGCUGAUUCUAUAUUUGCCUCUGACUUGUGGCUUACAAUGCCCUGUUUUCUUCCCAUUUCUUAUUACGAAAUCCCACCCACUCUCCAGGAUGCAAGCCCAGCACACCCUCUCUGAUGCUGUUGGCAGUCACCACAGGCUGAGUGGCUUUCUCUGGGUUCAUUGGCUUAUUGUUGGAACUCAUAUACCGUCACGCCACACAUUGCAUCUCCAUUAACUUACCGUAUGUAACCUGCUGCAUGUUAAGCUUGUCUAACAUGAUUCCCAUUAUAGGGCUCUCAGGGGGUGGAGAUGGCGUUCAUGGAGCACAUGUCAGCAAGCUUAACAGAUAGGUUGCUAAUUGGUUCACGGCAAUUUCCCCUUAGAUUGUCCCAGUAAACGGUUGAAGAUAUAGAUGUAGCUGAGAUUUAUAACUAUCUUUUUCAUCAUUAGAUUAUCUGACAUAUGAAUACCAUGUAUCAGUAAGUAUUUAUAACCUGGCGGCUGUUGUUUCUUCAAAAUCCAAAGUCAUUCCGAAGUUAAUGUCAAGUUCAUUUUGCCUAGCCACUUUGACUCUUAAGACCCUUUAACUUUUAUGAGCCAUCUCACGAAAAACUAGGGUAUUUACUCAGGUGUUUGUAGUUACAGGCUGUUUGUGGGUGUUUUACAGAUCCUUGCAUUAAUCCAUUAAAACAAUCAAAGUAAAGAAGGAAAAUAGAGACGUGAGCCAUCCCAGGGUCCCGGGGCACAUGUUCACAGUGUUUCAGAAUCUGCCUUUGGAUAAGCAGAAAAAGCAGAAGGAUGGAGCUGGAGGUCUUCGUUUCCUAAGAAGAUUGAGCAGGGCAUCAGGAGCUGAGCUCAGUGGCCAGACAUGAUCUCCAGAGGAACAGAGAGUGAGGAGCCUUGUCAGUGACAAGGACAGCAAUGGUAUGUGUCCCAGAAGUGAUCUACAGGUGGGAACAGGAGGGACUCAGCAACUGCACCUAAGCAACCCAGCUCACAGACAGCAUCAUGAAAAUUAGACGUGUCUAAGUCAUUGCUAGGGUGAUGGGGAAGAUUUCAUGUCCUCUGAGGAGUAAAGGUGGGAGGAGACAGGACAAUAUAGGCAGAGCCCAAGUCCCAAGGGGCCCAGAGAACCAGAGUUAUCACCACAAUGGAAAUACUUGUAGAAACCCAGCCCUCCCACAUCCAAUGCAAACCCUGCUGCACGGUGUAAAGAGAAGCUGGGUCCCUUCUGGGGUUCUGAAAAAAUAGUGUAUGGUAACCAGGGUUCCUAGGGGCCAAAAUGUUAAAGAUUGGUUGGAAAAUGGAAAGGAAUAACUUCCCUAAAUAUGCCAUAUAAAUGUACAU